GACGAACGCUGGCGGCGUGCUUAACACAUGCAAGUCGAACGGAAAGGCCCUGCUUUUGUGGGGUGCUCGAGUGGCGAACGGGUGAGUAACACGUGAGUAACCUGCCCUUGACUUUGGGAUAACUUCAGGAAACUGGGGCUAAUACCGGAUAGGAGCUCCUGCUACAUGGUGGGGGUUGGAAAGUUUCGGCGGUUGGGGAUGGACUCGCGGCUUAUCAGCUUGUUGGUGGGGUAGUGGCUUACCAAGGCUUUGACGGGUAGCCGGCCUGAGAGGGUGACCGGCCACAUUGGGACUGAGAUACGGCCCAGACUCCUACGGGAGGCAGCGGUGGGGAAUAUUGCACAAUGGGCGGAAGCCUGAUGCAGCAACGCCGCGUGCGGUAUGACGGCCUUCGGGUUGUAAACCGCUUUCGCCGGUGACGAAGAGUGAGUGACGGUAAUGGGUAAAGAAGCACCGGCUAACUACGUG
rnacentral:rRNA from 1 species